rnacentral:rRNA from 1 species
AUUGAACGCUGGCGGCAUGCCUUACACAUGCAAGUCGAACGGCAGCACGGGAGCAAUCCUGGUGGCGAGUGGCGAACGGGUGAGUAAUGUAUCGAAACGUGCCCAGUCGUGGGGGAUAACGUAGCGAAAGCUACGCUAAUACCGCAUACGAUCUGUGGAUGAAAGCGGGGGACCGUAAGGCCUCGCGCGAUUGGAGCGGCCGAUAUCAGAUUAGGUAGUUGGUGGGGUAAAGGCCUACCAAGCCGACGAUCUGUAGCUGGUCUGAGAGGACGACCAGCCACACUGGGACUGGGGCACCGCCCAGACUCCUACGGGAGUCAGCAGUGGGGAAUUUUGGACAAUGGGCGCAAGCAUGAUCCAGCAAUGCCGCGUGCAGGAUGAAGGCCUUCGGGUUGUAAACUGCUUUUGUACGGAGCGAAAAGGCUCUCUCUAAUACAGGGGGCUCAUGACGGUACCGUAAGAAUAAGCACCGGCUAACUACGUGCCAGCCGCCGCAGUAAUAC